ACUUUAUGAAGUAAUUAUUAAGACACAAAAAUAUUUUAAAUUAGAAAUACUUCAAAGUUCAUAUUGGGAAGGGUAUAUGUCAUACGGUCUAAACUAAGCAUGUAUCAGUCGCAAAUAUAGAUUCUUAAUCGAAGAUCUUCUAAAUCUCUUAUUCACCGUUGUGGUAUUGUGUUGCUGAUAAAGCCUGAAGAAUACUUCAUUCCAAUCCACUUCUCUUCUCGACUUAUUAUAGAAUACGAAUAGAAAGAAGCACACCCCUGUGAAACCAUGUUGUCAGAAAUUACGAAAUUGAAGUUUCUGGGAAAGUCUAUAUGUCCUUUUUAUUAUACUUUGGACUAGUCUAAUGACUUUGCUAGGGUCCAACCUGUUAACUAGUUGCAUUAAGGGCUUAUUCAUAAUUAAAAAGAGCUG